rnacentral:lncRNA from 1 species
UUUUGGUGGCACAUGGACAUCACGUUCUGGAAUAAAGUAAGUCUCACAAUCAACUUGGGAAGAUGAGGUAGGCUGCCUUCAAUUUUCUAUCUGGGUAGCAGCAACAAAUUCAUGAAUCUACCGCUUGUUGCCUUUAUUAUUGUGAUCUAUGCAAAAAGUAAAUUUUGCUUGAAGAUUGCAGCACACACGGAUUGCUUGGCAGACUAAAAUAAGUAGGAGCUUCUGAUUAGACCCUUCAAGCAAUAGUGUUGUUAAUAUAUUAGUUAUUAUAUUAUGUUACUAGAGCAUUAGAAUAACUUCCUGAUAUAUGUGUUUAUAUGAUUUCUGACAUUUACUGCAAUAAUAUUGAUGGCCAGGCACUAUACUGUGCAUAAACAAAAAAAAAUCAGUUUUUCUUUUCGUAGUUGCAGCAAUUUUCCUGUACCAAUAGUGUGACACUACACUACUCUUCAUUUUUACAGGCCAUGGAACAAUAAAUAACUUGGCAACGGAUACCCUGUGGUCUACAAUUAUACUGUAAUUAUGUGUGCACUUUGGAUCUAUUGGAUGUCUAAAUGUAUUGUUAAUCGACAACUACUGAUGCAAAGGUAUGUUCUAUUUGUAAUAUGAAAUGAUUCUUAUUUGUACCUCCAGCAGUCCUUCUCACAUUUUCUAUUUGUAAUAUGAAAUGAUUCUUAUUUGUACCUCCAGCACUCUUCUAUCGCUCCUUUUAGAACUAAUGACAUAAAAAAUGUGGUCUGGAGUCUGGUCGUGUUUGAACAAAGUUGGUCAGAAUGAUAUAGUUGUUUUCUUCAAGUUCAUUAUAUUAAUUUUUUCAGUAUAUAGAUUAUUUAUUUGUUCACACAAUACAUGGCAGGAGAUGUGUGUCGAGAGGCACAUGAAUAUGCACGUGGGCUCUUUUUCAGCAUGGUAGUCUAAAAAACUGUGGUAUUCUCAGAACACGUAGAAAAUGCUUUGCUAUCAAACCGGGCAAGUGCAGAUUUCCUUGAAUAUAGUUUAUUUUACAAUUGUGUUGCCAACGUGCUUCCAUUGUUUUAUCACCAUAAAAUAGUUCUAGGUGCUCAUAUAAAAUUUAGUGGCGUGUAUGGGUGAUUGUAGUGCAGUUUUGUUUAUCUGCUUGCAUUUUCAGCAUUAUAGUGUUGAUAUACUAUCUCAAUAAAACAGUGAAUACGUAUAAUAUGUACAAGCUACAUUCAAGUUAUGGCAGUGUGCCUGGGUAAGAUGAACUGGUAAUCUUCUGCUAGCUGAAAAAAACUUUUUUCGUCUUUACAUGUGUUUCUUGAUGAAGCUCGUGAUUUUCAAGUUAUGGCAGUACAUAUGUCUACCCACUUGCAUGACUACCGAUAUUGUCCUUAUUUUGCUCCUCCUUAGCCUUGUUCUGUUAGUGCAGUUCUUUUAAAUAGCAGGGACAGAGUCCCAGAAAACAUGCCUGAUUGCUUUUCUUAGUGGCGCACUUGCAAGUAUAUGUGG